rnacentral:lncRNA from 1 species
CAUUAGUCCUGAGGAGUAACUUUCUCCCAUCUUCUCGGAAAACAUCUGGGGCAUUACCCUCCCCUCCACUCAUUCCCCCACCUCCCACCCAAAGCUGACUCUUGGCUGACAGUUUAUCAGAGAUAAAUGGAAACACCUGGGAGCCAGAUAAGGCCAACUGAGUGUGACCAGCGGAGGAGCCCUCGGGGACGCAUGCCACUCAAUAUUUCUUUUUCUUCACCAGGCAGGGUGGGAGCACGAUCUAGCUUGUGACGGAUGGCAAGGCUCCCUUUCACGUUCAUUCUUUCCUUCAUUCAUUCCAAACAACCUCAAGAGGUCGGCUGGCCCAGCUUCCUGCCUGAGGUAGGUCAACACCGAAACCACCAGAACUGCUGUUCUGAGAAGCACACGUCCGGAAAUGUUACUGAUCCACAUGGUGGGUGCACGCAGGAUCCGAGUGCCGUGCCUCAGGAAACAAGCUCCCUCUCCAUCCUCCUUGCCUUCUCUUCAGCCCACCAGCAUAUAGAAGUUCCUGGGAAUGCCCAAGAUGCAGAUGUGGAGUAACCAGCCCUGGAAUCCCAGUCCCAGCUACUGUCUGCCUUAAAGUGGGAAAGACUGAUGGUUAUCCUGCAAAAUUCUUUCUCCCUUUCUGCUUUAAUAAAAGAAACUCUAAUUUUUGGCUGACCAUGUAGCCAUUCUGAGUAAAGCUACAGUUCUCAACCUCCUUUCCACCUAGGUGUACAACUACAGGAAGUGCUGUGUGCAACAUCUAGGAACUGUAUUUAAAGGGAAGGAACAUGCUCUUCUUUCUCUUUUUUCCCUCUCUGCUUCCGGAAUAAGGAUGUGAUGAUAGGAGCUUGAGCAGCCAUCUUGGAUCAUGUGGUAGAAGCCACAUGCUCAGCAAGAUAGAAGGAGAUUAGGUCCCUGAUGUUGUAGAGUGAGAUGUCAACUCAAGAUUGACACAUCUGGGUUCCUUUGACCUGAAAUAGAAAUAAACAGUUUUUAAAAAUUAUUUAAGCCACUGUUAUUUUGGGGUUUCUGCCACCUCAGCAGAAUCUAAUCCUAACUGCUUUGGCUCCUCUCUUCAGCUAAUCCCCUCAGCUCUCUCAAGAGUAAACUAAAAGAUUUAUUCCUAGAACAGUUUAUUUCCUAGAACAACCUUUCAGAAAGCCAUCUUGACUGGGAACAAGUUAGCAUCAGAAGGACCCCACUGAAGUGUCUCUCCUAAUGACCAUCUGCACCUCUGUUCAGACUCUCUCCCACCCAAGACCUUUCACAAGGAGAGCAGGAGAUGAGAGUUGGCGGGGCAAGCCUCCACACCACAGUGAUUAGCACACCAACCGACCCAGCCUGGGUGGUCUAGCCCGAGUGGCCAUGUGUUUUCCCACUCUUUGCCCCAAAGAACCAUUCCCUGAAUUUGCCAAACUGUUGGUCCUCAUGUGUUCACUUGGCUGCACUCCCAUUCGCUAUUAGUGCCUUUCCCACAUGAACCAUCCAAUUUGUUCUUUAGUGUAUACGCACCAUCUAUUCUGACAGGCGUCAGUGUGAUAUGGUUCAGAUUCAGCUUCGCAAACUAACACAGAUAUUCCAAUCCACUACCAUGGCUCUGCCAGUCUACUCCAUGUUUAAAUCCUUAGUGCCAAGGCUAGUCAUUGAAACAAAGGCCAAACUUGGGCUAUGUCACCCACAGAUACUCCCUGAGCUGGGGGAGCUCUAGGCCAAUGAUCGUUGGCUAAAAUUUGGUUCUCUGGGAGAAACUAAGGUAUGAUCAUGGGUGGGCAAUCCAAUGGGUGUACUUAAAGUUGUGAUGAAUCUUUUUUCAUCUCUGUUUAUAAGAUACGUGAAGAAUAGAGGUUAAUUAUUUGUAUUUCCUGAGGGCAAAACUCUGUGUAUACACAAGUGCUUGAUUGUAAGCCUUCCUUUUUGUCCACUCCUUUGUUGUAGCAGUUCUCCAAUGCCUGGAAUUAGAUGGAGCUCAGGCACACACUUGUCCUCUGUCAUCCGACAGCAUGGUGCGUGAGGGGCCUCUGCAGCUCCCGCAGUUCCUGGCUUAGUGCAGCAGGCAGACCAUCCUCAGCAAAAGCAGCAGUGUGAGCCAAGGCAACAAGGAGACGUGCGUCAGGCUGGUUUGGGGGGGAAAUGGCAAGUAAUUUCCCCCUGCUGAGGGUCCACGAGGAGCAGAGAGCAGGGCGAGAGUUGCAGUUGGAAAUGGAGCAGAGGCCAGCUGGGGAACUUGGUUCCCAUCCUAUAAACAGAAAGGAACUCACUCAACAAACGCCAUUCAAGCCCCAAAGAGAUGGGGAGAGACACCCAGAGAAGGGACUGUGACACGAGAGCAACCAGGUUUCCCAGGAUUCAAAGACAAUGGAGCAGUUGUGUUCACCUACCUGGGCUGUAGCGCCCUUGUCUUGUGCAUCCCCUCCAAUCCCCAGCAGCAUCCCAUGUUGUGGUCCACUCCCUCCCUCAGCAAGCAUCGCCCACCUGGUGUUUCUGUUUCCUCAAGAAUCAGUUGUCUGCUAGAUGAUGGUUGAUUAUCUAACUAAUAAAUCCCCGUGAUCCCGUCAGUACAUGUCAGUUUGUUAUUUAUUCCACGCUGUAGAUUUCCAUUUAAAUGGGGACUUUGUGAGCAAUGUUUUAAACCAAAUGGAUCAAAACCCUAGUGAUAGCGUUGCAAGCACCCUGGCAACUCCAUGAAGGGGCAAUUUUUGCACAAGAAACUGGUGUCUUAUCACUAGUUCUGGGCUGUGAAAGCAACUGCUUUCUUGAUGUUUGUUGCCAACAAAAAGGUUUUCAGAAAAAAAAUGAUUGGCCCAUACAAAGGCUGAGAAAACAUACGGUGAUACUUAUAAGCACAAUUAUGGAAGCUUUGACUCUCUCUCUGUGACUGGCAUGCGGUGGCUGCUUAAUGCAUGAUGAAAGGGAAGAAGGGAGAUAGGAAGGAACGGAAGAAGAGAGGGGACGCGCUCGAAUCCAUAAUCUCUUUUUACAUAGCUUGUGGAAUGGAACUUGGUGGCUAAAAAUAGAUAUUUUUCUACUCCUAAGGGGGCGAGACAGG